rnacentral:lncRNA from 1 species
AAAAAUCACAUUGAUGGUUUUUUUUUCAGAAAACCCUUAAUUUUACCAACAAAAAUUGAAUGACUAAUAAAUUAUAAAAAUUAAAAGCGCAGUGUUGAAUGUCCAUAAAUACUGAGUCAAAAGUACAUAAUAAAUGCAUAAUUAUAUAACUACCAUUCUCUUCCUUUUCCCUUUGUAAUAAAUUAGCUUACGUAGUUUGCUCUUCCCACCACUCGCUUGAUUGGCAAUCUCUGUCGUCUCAAUUGCUCUUUUGUGGUUUUGAAAAUUCUACAUUUUUAAUAUAUAGUUUUGUAACAAUUUUGGAAUAAAAUUAGGGUUUGAGGAAAUGUUGUCGGUAUUAGGUGUCUCUACGAAACUUUGAGCCAGUUGAGUUGGAUGGGAGUGCUCUCGAGUCUUGUCCUCUGCUUCAUGCCCUCUCUCGUCUUGUAAGUUGGUAACUGUUGGAAUAUAUUAUUAUUCCUUCAUUUUUGGACACAUACGAGCCCAUAUAAUAUAUCAAACUGAAGUACUGAACUAGAACAUGUCCUUUUAUAUUAUUACAAUUUUAAAUACCUACUAUAUUUAUAAGAGAGAGUAUAUGAGUUGAAGCAUUGCCUACUCAGAAAAAAACAAGUAAACAAAACAAGCAACUACCUAAUAAUGGAUAUGAAACUACUUUUGUAAUUUAAAGAGAGAUUUGUUACCAAAGAAACAAAACCUAUUUUUGUUAAGUUCUUAUUAACAUCAAAUUUAUGGUUGAUAGAUUAUAAUGACCUGAAAGCUAUUGUUGUUUACCUGUAGAUUAGCCAAGGUUAGAUUUGGUAUAUGUUCUUGCUCUUUCAAACGUUACAGUUUGGUUUACUUUGGUAAACUUAAUUACAAGUGAAAAGCGAAAUAACUAUAGUUUUGGUCAAAAAUAAGUAUAGUUAUAUGUUAGGCAUCUAAUAGGUAAGGUAAGUCAACAUAUAGUGAAUGCCAACCCAUGACAUCAAUGCUCAC